CAUAGUUUCUUGAGUCAUUUAAAUACAGUCACAACUAAAAGUGUUUCUACACCAAAAUGGAUGAGAGUUAUGUAACAGAAAUGUUUGAAGGUGCUGUAGCUUUAAUUUUUCUUGCACGGAUUAAAAUAUUGUUGAAACAAAUAGCUAUUCUUCGUAAACGUCGACCACUGGGUAAUUUGUAUUGGCAAUAAUUUUUAUUUUUGAAUUCACAUUCUGAUGGUUGAUAUUUCAUUACUGGCCGUUUAUGGACUCGCAUGCACAAUACCUUUAAUAAGCGUCAGCGUCACUCUUGGUUUACUACCAUAAUGAAGGCUUCAAUAGAUAGAAAUUUGGAAACGUUUUACAAGUUUACAAGAAUGAGUCCCCAAGCUUUCUUUUAUUUAGUUAGAAAAUUAAAUAGUGUGAUCAAGAAGGAGGAUACAAGAUUACCUAAAAGCAUAACAGCUGGGAAGCGUCUGGCAAUCACAUUGUUUUUUCUAGGUAAAGGGGACAGCAUUCAAACGGUGGCUUGGGGUUUUAGAAUAGGAUGAUCCACUGCUCAAGAAAUAGUGCUAGAAACAAGCAAAGCAUUAUAUCAAGUGUUGGCUCAAGAUCAUCUUAUACAACCCGACACAGAGGAGUGGACACGUCUGUCAUAUGAGUUCACAAAAAUCUGGAAUUUGCCAAACUGUGUAGGAGCGAUUGAUGGAAAACAUAUAGCUAUUCAGUGCCCAGCCAAUUCAGGAUCUGACUACUAUAACUUCAAGCAAUUUUUCAGUAUUGUACUCAUGGCCGUCUGCGACGCAAAGUAUCGUUUCCCUCUUAUUGACAUUGGAGCUUAUGGUCGUGAAGGCGACACAACACGAGUUGUAGCGAGCUAGCUCUGCCCGGGUGAGCUUUUCCAUUCGCUCAGCCCGAGUGAGCGAAUGUUCUAGGUUUACAGCGCUCGUGGCGGCAGUUUCAGCAACCGCAACUUGACAUGGGACGACCAAAACUUCCCAAAAAUGAAGAAGAAGCAAAAAUACAGAAAGCUAAGAGGUUAGAGGCCCAAGUCGAGGCCAGAGAAAAGAAGACAUUCAAAAGAAAAGCACAAAAUUUGGCGAAAAAACUUGUUGAGAAUAAAAAUUACAGGAAAUCCUCAACGUCACAAGAAUUGUACGAAGAAAGGAUUCUCUGGUGGAGGAUUUUCUAAUGAUGCGCAUAAAAACCAACCAUCAAAAAAGCUAUUGGCUGAUGAGAAAAAUGAAGUUGAAAUAUUAAUUCAACAGCUCAACAUAAGGAAGUUCUUUUUAUGGAUCCUUUGCCAACACGUCUUUCAGAUCCUCAACAACUAACAGAAGCGCAGACAAGAAUUGCUUUUGAAGACCACAUGUUUGAUCUUCCUGCAGCUGCAGCAUGAGUUUCUCGGGAAGGAACUUUGAGAGCAGUUUGGACAUCUUACGAAUGGCAUGCAAGGAUUUCUUUCCCGUCUUCAUGGGCAAUGACAUUCCUGGUACUGCCAGAUAUUGUUUUUUGGCCACUGGAAAGUUGGAGCUGCUGGAACCCUAGGAGAAGAAUCGGAACAAGUCUUCAUUUUUUUUUCGCGAUACGCUAACGUUUCGAAAGUAAUGAGCGAUGCAGGUAGAAACGACUCUCUAACCCUGGUUAUAUUAUAUUGGAAUUCAAGAAAAGAAAAAAUUCUGCCGAGAUUGAUCACCUCAAGACUUCUCAUCGCUGUUCAUCGUGUACAUUUCUACCAAAAACGUUUGGUAUAUUUAUUGGCAAAAAGAGGACUGACGGAGGCCGACCUUCCUCAUGUACAUCUUCAACUUAACAACAAAGCCUUUGAAUAUAUCAAAAGCAACAGAGAAGACAAGAAAAAAACAAAGUUGGAAAUUGUUCAGAAUGAAAUAGAAACAUUGUAUUACGAACACUCCAAUAUGCAUGAUAGAAUUGCAAGUGUUUUGCUACUUGCAAAUGGAAAGCCCACAUUCGGAAUAAAAUAUCCAAGUUGAAUGUAAAAAUAAAAGCCAAGCUUGUAACUUUAAAUGCUUUGACAGAAAAAGAUUGGAUUACCGAAAUAAAUGGAGACGUUUACCAUCCGCUAACGUUCCAACAUUUUACGGAAGGAGCUUUCCCGUGGGAAGAGUCAAACGACGCCUCCUUCAGGGAAAUUUUUAAACUAAUCGAUUGUUCGAUGCUGCUUAAAAGGAAGGAAGAUCAGCCGGGUCAAUCUAUGAAAGAAAUUUCUCAACUUCUGCAUUCCCUAAAGAAAAGUAAUGAAUUUCAUCAUGCUGAAGUUGAAAACCUGAUGCAACCCGAUGAGACUGACAACUUUGUUGUUCAAGAACAAGAAUUGGUUGAAGAUUUGCUGCCACAACCAGAAAAAAUGCUUUUUAAUCAAGCGCAAGCGUCAAUCAAGUUUGCAGAAAUUCGCCACCUUCAAAUGGUCCUAAAUGAUGCUUUAAGGUACUUAAAGUAUUUAACUAAGAUUUAAAGAAAAUAAAACGCGAA